CCCAUUUAAGAGAGGAAAAGUUUGCUUUUCUUUUAUUUCUUUUCUUUGUUUGUUUUUAUUUUCUUUUCCUCUGGUUUUAUUUGUCGCCGUUUCCCUCUUCUCUUGCCCGAGUCCUCUUCUUCCUUUUCUCCCCGACGCCGCCGUGCCUCUCCUUGCCCUAACUGCCGGCCGGCGGUUUCUUCUUCCCGAACGCGAGCGGGCCGUUCAUUUGCUGGAGCCCUAGCACCGCCGCCCGACCGCCUGCCCGAGCCAAACUCCUCUCCUCUGCUUGCCCUAGCCACCCGACGCCACCACAGCGACGCCGUCUGUGCCCAAAUCCUCUCUGCCGCCGGCGACGAGAGCCACCGCCGACCCCCUGUCGCCCUAGGUGUGGAGAUACCGAGCACUAGCCGAUCGCCUCUGCCCUAGUUGAGCAACACUGCCGCCGAUCGAAGCCUCUUUCCAUCUUCCUCCUCAGACUUGCAUCGGCUGUUGUCCCUCUCUUCCCUAAUGUUGUGAUCCUUGCCCUCUCCACUGCACAGUGCCGACGCCGACCCACCUUCACUGGCCACCAGGUUCAGCCGUGCCCUAGGUCUUUCACCGGCACACCUCUGCUCGGGUGGUUUCCGGCCAGGAGCAAGAAGGGUCAAGUCUUAGUUCUUCCUGCUUGGUCCGAUUAUUUACAGUAAGCAGGGGGAUUCGGUUCCGUGGGGACUUCGUUUGGUUCUAGCAGCACUCCAGUGAGCAGUUCCUUUGUUCCAGCAUCAAGAGGGGCUGUGAAUUGAGGACCUUGAUUCGAGACGAGCAUCUCGACGUUCGAGUUGGACCUUUCUAUUUACGGAGGC